CCCUUAGAUGUCCGGGGCCGCACGCGCGCUACACUGAAGGAAUCAGCGUGGCUUUCUCCCUGACCCGAAAGGGUUGGGAAACCCGUUGAAUCUCCUUCGUGAUAGGGAUUGGGGCUUGAAAUUGUUCCCCAUGAACGAGGAAUUCCCAGUAAGCGCGAGUCAUAAGCUCGCGUUGAUUACGUCCCUGCCCUUUGUACACACCGCCCAUCGCUACUACCGAUUGAACGGUUUAGUGAGGGCCUCGGAUUGGUCUCGGCCCGCUCUUUACCGGGCGGCGCCGUUGGUCGAGAAGACGCUCGAACUUGAUCGUUUAGAGGAAGUAAAAGUCGUAACA
rnacentral:rRNA from 1 species